rnacentral:lncRNA from 1 species
UGGUAAUAUUAAUUAUUUGGAAAACAAAAGGGCCUGGAAUGGAGUAUUUUUUUUAUCAACAGCAUUGUCCCAUAUUAGUUAUAAAUAACCGCUGUUUUACGUCAUGCCGGCUAACAAAUUGAAAACUGUACCUAUACGCCUUAUUUUAAGUCCAGAUUUUUAGUAUUUGUAUUGUCAUCUUAGAAAGUCAUACUGAUUAAAAUACUACAAUAGGAAACAAUG